ensembl:snRNA U6 U6 spliceosomal RNA
GCUCACUUUGGCUGCACAUAUAAUAGAACUGGAAUGAUACGGAGAAGAUUAGCAUGACCCUUCAUAAGGAUGACACACAAAUUUGUGAACUGUUCCAUAUUUUU